rnacentral:rRNA from 1 species
GACGAACGCUAGCGGCGUGCCUAAGCUAUGCAAGUCGAGCGGGGUUUCAGAGUCGAGUUUCCUUCGGGAGACAAAGCACUGAAACCUAGCGGCGAACGGGUGAGUAACACGUGAGCAACCUACCCUGUUGUCCGGGAUAACAGACCGAAAGGCCUGCUAAUACCGGAUACGAAGCUCCUUCGCAUGUUGGAGCUUGGAAAGGGGCAACCCGCAAUGGGAGGGGCUUACGGCCUAUCAGCUAGUUGGUGAGGUAACGGCCCACCAAGGCGACGACGGGUAGCCGACCUGAGAGGGUGACCGGCCACACUGGGACUGAGACACGGCCCAGACUCCUACGGGAGGCAGCAAGCGGGAAUCUUGCACAAUGGGCGCAAGCCUGAUGCAGCGACGCCGCGUGAGGGAUGAAGGCCUUCGGGUCGUAAACCUCUGUUGAUGGGGACGAAGAUCUGACGGUACCCA